rnacentral:lncRNA from 1 species
AGGAACCACCGGUUCCUCCCUAAAUAAACAUUGUCAGACGUUUGUCGCCAAAUUAAUUAAUUAAUUAUAAUUAAGGGCAUUUUAGUAUUUUUAGUCUAUGUCAUUAACUCUAAUUGAUACUGUUUUUUUCCACAAAAUUGAGAGAUCUUCCGUACUGCCUCCCGCAUCGCCGCCGCUUUACCUCACUAGGAUCACCAUGGUCCGCUUGAACGGCCGGCCUGCUGUCAUCCGCAUGAAUGGCUUGGCGUCGCCC